AAUGGAGUAAACUCUGAUGCAGCAACGCCGCGUGGAGGACGAAGGUUUUCGGAUUGUAAACUCCUGUCUUUUGGGACGAUAAUGACGGUACCAAAAGAGGAAGCCACGGCUAACUACGUGCCAGCAGCCGCGGUAAUACGUAGGUGGCGAGCGUUGUCCGGAAUUACUGGGCGUAAAGGGAGCGUAGGCGGAUAUUUAGGUCAGAUGUGAAAUACCCGAGCUUAACUUGGGUGCUGCAUUUGAAACUGGAUAUCUGGAGUGCAGGAGAGGAAAGUGGAAUUCCUAGUGUAGCGGUGAAAUGCGUAGAGAUUAGGAAGAACACCAGUGGCGAAGGCGACUUUCUGGACUGUAACUGACGCUGAGGCUCGAAAGCGUGGGGAGCAAA
rnacentral:rRNA from 1 species